rnacentral:rRNA from 1 species
GAUGAACGCUAGCGGCAGGCCUAAUACAUGCAAGUCGAACGAGAUUAAGAGGCUUGCUUCUUAUGAAAGUGGCGCACGGGUGCGUAACGCGUAUGCAACCUACCUUAAUCAGGGGGAUAGCCCGAAGAAAUUCGGAUUAAGACCGCAUAAAAACACAGGAUAGCAUUAUCCAAUGUUCAAAUAUUUAUAGGAUUAAGAUGGGCAUGCGUGUCAUUAGCUAGUUGGCGGGGUAACGGCCCACCAAGGCGACGAUGACUAGGGGAUCUGAGAGGAUGACCCCCCACACUGGUACUGAGGCACGGACCAGAAUCCUACGGGAGGCAGCAGUAAGUAAGAUUAGUCAAUGGAGGGUACUCUGAACCAGCCAUGCCGCGUGCAGGAAGACAGCCCUCUGGGUCGUAAACUGCUUUUAAUGGGGAAUAAACCUUUCUACGUGUAGGAAGCUGAAUGUACCGAAGGAAUAAGGAUCGGCUAACUCCGUG